UACGUAGGGACCGAGCGUUGUCCGGAAUCAUUGGGCGUAAAGAGCGUGUAGGCGGCCUUUUAAGUCCUGCGUGAAAUCCUGCGGCUCAACCGCAGACGGUCGUGGGAAACUGGAAGGCUAGAGUGCGGGAGAGGAGACUGGAAUUUACGGUGUAGCAGUGAAAUGCGUAGAUAUCGUAAGGAAGACCAGUGGCGAAGGCGAGUCUCUGGACAGCAACUGACGCUGAGGCACGAAGGCCAGGGGAGCAAACGGG
rnacentral:rRNA from 1 species